rnacentral:lncRNA from 1 species
GCAAGUAUACGACAUGCAACAUCAAAUAUAUACGAUUUUAGAUUUGAACAGGAAGGAUAUUACUAGCCUUCUUCUCAAGCUUGAAGAAGAAAAGUCUUUUCUAAAUACGAAACCCUAGAAAAUCGAAUUUGAAGAGAUUGCUGAGUAAAACCUCGGAAAAUCAAACUUCCUAGCAAUGUUAGACCGUUGAAGAAGAAAGAUGAGGAAAACCCAAAUUUUGAUGGCAAAAUCGUCAAUUAGCAGUUGUCUUCGAUCAACCAGGUACGGAAAUGAAAUUGUCCAAAACUCUGAGCGAGGGUAACAUUGGACUGAAGCUCAUGAAGCGGGAAAUCAUAAUUCUUGCUCUGAUACCAUGUUAGAUUAAAC